UACGAAGGGGGCUAGCGUUGCUCGGAAUCACUGGGCGUAAAGCGCACGUAGGCGGAUCUUUAAGUCAGGGGUGAAAUCCCAAGGCUUAACCUUGGAACUGCCUUUGAUACUGGGGAUCUCGAGUCCGGAAGAGGUUGGUGGAACUGCGAGUGUAGAGGUGAAAUUCGUAGAUAUUCGCAAGAACACCAGUGGCGAAGGCGGCCAACUGGUCCGGUACUGACGCUGAGGUGCGAAAGCGUGGGGAGCAAACAGG
rnacentral:rRNA from 1 species